rnacentral:rRNA from 1 species
UAGCUUGCCACGGUAGGGUCAGUGACUGGGGUGAAGUCGUAACAAGGUAGCCGUAGGGGAACCUGCGGCUGGAUCACCUCCUUUCAAGG